rnacentral:misc_RNA from 1 species
GGGUGAACCAUCUUUAACCUAUUGUUACUAGUAAUUGAAACAAUUCAAAAUCAUCUGAAUUCAAGAUGAAUGCAUUUUUACCGUAUGUAUGUUCAAUGAGUUUUGACAUGGAUGCGAGGGGGACAAGAAAGGUGAUUUUGCUGAGCAUUAUUGUAGAUCCUUGUAACUGUAGGCCUUGCUUAUGUUGUGUGCUUAUUCUGAUGUCUUUUCUCAUGUUU